rnacentral:misc_RNA from 1 species
GAUGAAGAACGCAGCGAAAUGCGAUAAGUAAUGUGAAUUGCAGAAUUCAGUGAAUCAUCGAAUCUUUGAACGCACCUUGCACCCUUUGGCAUUCCGAAGGGUAUGCUCGUUUGAGUGUCAUUGUACUCUCACACUUCCGAUCUUUGGAUUGGGAGCGGUGGACUUGGGUGUUGCUGCUUACUGUGGCUCACCUCAAAUCGAUUCGUGCACCUCUUGGUUGGACAUAGUACGGCGUGAUAAGUGUCUUCGCCGGCACCUCAGUAGAGGGUGGCUGAUCGGGAGCUCUGCUUCAAACCGUCUUCGGACAACCUCUGACAACUUGACCUCAAAUCGAGUAGGACCACCCGCUGAACUUAAGCAUAUCAAUAAGCGGAGGA